ACGGCGGUUGGGAUGACCGCUCCGAGGAUUCGCGGUAACUCCUGUUGCCGCGGAGCGACUCGGGGAGGAAAGUCCGGACUCCGCAGGGCGCGGUGGUGGGUAACACCCACCGCCCGGUUUGGUUCCGGGUAGGGAAAGUGCCACAGAGAAUAGACCGCCCCUCGGUCUCGGCCGGGGGGUAAGGGUGAAACGGUGAGGUAAGAGCUCACCAGCAGGCCGGGCGACCGGCCUGGCUCGGCAAACCCCACCGGGAGCAAGACCAAAUAGGAGGGCAGUGGUGAUGCUCCUCGUGCUGCGAGGAUGCGCCAUCCGCGGGUCGGCCCGGCCCGCCAACGACCCUCGGGUAGGUUGCUAGAGGCGUCGGGUAACCGACGCCCGAGAGAAAUGGUCAUCCGGAGACGUCCUCGUCUCUGACAGAAUCCGGCUUACAAGCCCGCCGUGGCC
rnacentral:RNase_P_RNA from 1 species